rnacentral:lncRNA from 1 species
UUUUGGGACAUUUGUGACAUUUUGGGCACCCAAACUCCUUCCCCCCCUCUCCCUCCAUGAAUUCCAAAUUUUUUUUGCCAGAAAAUUCCAAAGGGGGGGGGAGGGGCCGAUCCCAAAUCCCCUCCCCACCCCCUUUAUUUGGGGACAGGAGGGGACACGGGAUUUGGGGGGGGAAAUGGGAAUUCGGGGAAAAAUUGGAAUUUUUGGGCAUUUUAAGGAAAAUUUUGGGGAUUUUUUUUUGGAUUUUAAAGGGGUUGUUUUAUGGGAUUUUGGGCUGGAUUUGGGGCUGGAUUUUGGGGUGAUUUAAUGGGAUUUAGGGCUGGAUUUUGGGAUAGAUUUGUGGGAUUUCAGGCUGGAUUUUGGGGUAAUUACAUUGGAUUUAGGGCUGGAUUUCAGGACAGAUUUUGGGGUCAUUUCAUGGGAUUUUGGGCUGGAUUUGGGGCUGGAUUUUGGGGUGAUUUAAUGGGAUUUUGGGCUGGAUUUUGGGGUCAUUUUAUGGGAUUUCAGGCUGGAAUUGGGGUAGGAUUUUGGGGUCAUUUGAUGGAAUUUUGGGGCUGGAUUUUGGGGACAAAUUUCAAGACAAUUCUGCAGAAUCUCAGGAUACAUUUUGGGGCAAUUCCACGGGAUUUGGGGCUGGAUUUUGGGGGUAAUUCCACAACAUUUCAGGGUAGGAUUUUGGGGUAAUUCCACAACAUUUCAGGGACAGAUUUUGGGGUCAUUUCAUGGGAUUUUGGGGCUGAAUUUUGGGGUAAUUUUGUGUGAUUUCAGGCUGGAUUUUGGGGUGAUUUAAUGGGAUUUUGGGGUUAAAUUUCAUGGGAUUUCAGGCUGGAUUUUGAGACAGAUUUCAGAACAAUUCUGCAGAAUCUCAGGAUACAUUUUGGG